rnacentral:rRNA from 1 species
GUGUCAGCCGCCGCGGUAAGACGGAGGGUGCAAGCGUUGUUCGGAAUUACUGGGCGUAAAGCGCGGGCAGGUGGCCCUUUAAGUCCUUUGUGAAAUUCCGGAGCUCAACUCCGGAUGUGCAUAGGAUACUGGAAGGCUAGAGACUGGUAGAGGCGAGCGGAAUUCCUGGUGUAGCGGUGGAAUGCGUAGAUAUCAGGAAGAACACCGGUGGCGAAGGCGGCUCGCUGGGCCAGUUCUGACACUCAUCCGCGAAAGCGUGGGGAGCAAACAGGAUUAGAUACCCUGGUAGUCCACGCCGUAAACGAUGGGCACUAGAUGCCGGGCCUAUAGACGGGUUCGGUGUCGCAGCUAACGCAUUAAGUGCCCCGCCUGGGGAGUACGGCCGCAAGGCUGAA